rnacentral:rRNA from 1 species
UUGGACCUGAUAUCAGGCAAGACUACCCGCU